GACAGAGGGUGCAAACGUUGUUCGGAAUUACUGGGCGUAAAGCGAGUGUAGGCGGUUUGGUAAGUCGGAUGUGAAAGCCCCGGGCUCAACCCGGGAAGUGCACUCGAUACUGCCAAGCUAGAGUAUCGGAGAGGUUGGUGGAAUUCUCGGUGUAGAGGUGAAAUUCGUAGAUAUCGAGAGGAACACCGGUGGCGAAGGCGGCCAACUGGACGAAUACUGACGCUGAGACUCGAAAGCGGUGGGGAGCAAACAGG
rnacentral:rRNA from 1 species